CACUCACAGAAGUGAUCUGAAACGGCACAAAAAGAGGAAACAUAAAAAUUGAGAAGUGUGUUGAGAAUUUGCACUGUAAACUUCAUUAUUCUCUUAUUGUUUUACCCAAGGUUCAAACACAAAUUAUUUAUCUUUCUAUUGAUUCAUUCUUAAAUAUUACUUGUUUUAGAUAAAAUGGCAGAGAAUAUGAAAAAAGAAUUGAUUAUGGAAUAAAUAGGGAUAAAAGAAGAAGAAGUUAGAGCAAAUAUGUACAUGGGAUGUGAAGGAAGAAGAUGUUAAGAUUGAAAAUAAAGAAUUUAAAGGCGAAAGUUUAUGUUCUUUUUAUUAUUUAUUAAAAAGUUUUUUAGUUUUUAUAUUUCAAUUCCUAGAUCAAACAGCGUUACAGGAUCUAAAUAUAUAAUAACUGUUUAAAUUUAAGUAAUACUGCUGGUAAAACAAGAAAUAAACUUGGAAGAGUUUGAGAUGAAGGAAAAAAAACCAGGGGUCAAUAUAAUUCCAUAAUUGAUUAUUUGUCCCAUCACAAGUUAUUUUUAGAAAAAAAUGAUUUUCGGUCCCAACACUUUCAUUUUCUGUCCCAACAGUUUCAUUUUUUGUACCAAAAGCAAAACAAAUAUUUUCAAUUCCACUAGUCAUUCCUUUCAUGACCUGGAUUUUUAUUUUAAGUUUAAUCCCAUUUAUUACAUUUUCGUCCCAAAAUUCUAUUUUCCAUCCCAAACCCUAAAAAAUUAUUUCAAAUUUCACUUGUCCUUUUCAUACAUGCUGGUUAUUAAUUUUAUUUUCUAUCCCAAUUAUUUCGUAAUUUGUUUCAAAAGUUCAUUUUCAAUCCUUAAGACUUCCAUUUUUUGUCCCUUAAAAUUCAUUUUAGUCCCAAAAUCCAGAAAAAAAUUUAAAUUCCACAAAAUGAUUUUCCGUCCCAUAUUUUUAUUUUCCAUCCCAAACUUUCAUUUUCUGUCCAAAAAGUCAAUUUUUUUUCAAAUUCCACAAGUUUGUUAUCACAGGGCCUCAAGGUUUUGGCCACACAGUUUUAUUUUUUGUCCCAAUAAUUUUAUUUUUUUCCCUAUUAUUUCAUUUUAUGUCCCAAUAAUUUCAUGUAUUUUGACAAAAUUUAAUUAUUUGUCCCAAAAUUUCAUUUUUCAUCCCAAACAGCCAUUUUGACCCGAUCCCAUUGGGAUUGGGUAUGGAAUUAUAUUGACCCCUGGAAAAACUGUUUCAACUAAGGAAGAAAUUCUUCCAGGUUCUACAAUAGAAGAUACUUGUACAUUUUAUGUACAGGGGGAAGACAUGAAGAUUGAAAGGAAGACGACUUGGUUACACAGGAGAAGUUGAAGAAGGACGCAAGAUAAAUCCUGGAGGACGCACAAUCCUUCUAUAUACAAUUAUUAAUGUCCAUUCUUUUUAUAUGAGAAUUUUUAAACAUUUUAAUUUCAAACCAAUUUAAUUUCCAUGCUUGGAAAUUUGAAUAAAUUUGAAUAUAAAACUUUUUUAUACUUAAUAUCUGAGUGUUUCAGAUAUUAUGCAUGGCGCGUUUAAGUACUGUGUCCAAGAAACUGCGGGCAAUGUUUGAUCCUUAGUAAACAUAGAUCUGAAGUUAUAGCAACUACUGACGAUCUACACCUCUACCUAUACGUCCUUGCAGUCUCUGUGUCAUUUUAGAGACUGAAGGAGCGUGUAGAGUGUGACCGGCUGAUUGAGCUCUCAGCUUUAAGUAUAUAGGUAUAUACAUAUACUUUAAAAUGCAUUCAUCUAACAUUUUUCACACCUUUCAGUUAAUAGAAAAAAGACUUUAAAACCUUUUCUCUAGAACCUGAAUUGCACGGAGACGAAUUUCCCUGCAGACCCUUCUAGCGAAGUCGUACUAAACUUCGCUCAACGGAUCCUGUUUAUUGUGAAUCCACUACAAAUCGCUGGGUGUGAGCGAUCCUGAUCUCUAUAGGUUGUCAUGCUACAAAAUGAUCCUAUAGACGUCGACUAUCAACCAUGAAGCAAGCUUUAAACCUGUGAACAUGACUAUCUCUCUUGUAACUGGAUAAUGUCCGUAAUUUAUCACCUGAUUAGAGGAUAAAUAAAUACAUAAAAUAUUUUGGAGUUAUCUUCUAUACCUCGAGUUAUAAAGAGGAGUUAUUAUACCACAGUACAAUCAAAAUCUUCAGCACGUCCAUGAGACACGUGCGACCCACGAAGUGAGAGAUAAUAGUCAUUUAAAGAUACACUUUGAAACCCUAUAAACCCUAAAGUCUGACAAGAAGAAACAUUUCUCUCUCUUAACCAAAGAGGCCCAAAAAAAGUGAAUUAGCAGAAAAAGAGUAUCCCUGCGGGAAAUGUGAAUAUGCACAAACCUGGAACACUGAAGAGAGUGAGACAUAUUGACAGUAUGCAUGAUGGAGUGAGAUAUCUCUGUAACUAGUGUGAUUACGCUGCUACAACAAAAGAUAGUCUUAAGAAGCAUAUCAAAUAUAUACAUGAAGGAGUGAGAUAUCCGUGUCAACAUUGUGAUUAGGCUGCUACUACAGUUGGAUGUCUAAAAAGACAUUUCAAAAAUAAUCAUGAAGGAGUGAAAUAUCCCUGUGACCAGUGUGAAUACGCUGCUACCUCAACAACAAACCUGAAAAAAAACAAUUGAAAAUAAACAUAUAGGGGUUAGAUAUCCUUGUGGCUUGUGUGAAUUCGCUGCUACCACAGUUAGUUUGAUGACACAUUUUUUAAAUAAACAUAAAGGCGUUACAUAUCCCUGUGCUCAGUGCAAAUAUGCUGCUACUACAGUAUUGAAACAUAUUGAAAAUAAACAUAAAGAAGUGAGAUAUUCAUGUGAUCAGUGUGAAUACGCUGCUACUACAGGAAGUAAUCUUAAGCAACAUAUUAAAAAUAUACUUAGUGAGUGAGAUGUUUCUUUAGGACUAUUGAACUUAUUCAUGCUAAGACUACAGUCUUUGAUCUGAAAGAGAAAAUAUUAUUUGUAAAAAGAUUUCAUGUUUUCUA